UCGACCCAAGUCGUAGGUUUCUUCGUUCGCAACGGAUUAGGAAGACCGGGUCGCGUCCGUCCGUCGGGAAACGUGGAACGAUCGGGUGCUGCCCGGGACUCGUGUCGGGACGCAGCUGGCGCUUGAGUUGAUCGGGUUGGCAUGCGUGCGGUCGGCCUGCGUCGAUGCGCCCGACGUACGAGGACGGCCGCCAGUUGGGGCUUCUUGUUCAAGGACGCCGCUUCGCGGGCCCUUCAAACGACUUCCAUAACAGCGACCGUCUCAUUAAAUCCUUUCUUUUAUACUUUUUUUGGCCUGAAACAUAAAGUGAUGUUUCAUAUUUGCCCCUGCUAUUUUUACCUUAGUUUGUCCUUUCCUUCUCUAUCUCCAUUAUUAUUGCCUGGUCUCAUCAUUGGAUCAUCAUUAUUGUCCUUAGAAUGUUAUUAAUUGUUUUUCCUUGUACUCAUCUCUCUGUUGGAUGACAGAAAAAUUGGUGUAUUCGAUUCCUAAAUUAAACUAGAAUAAUUUAUUUUAAAAAAUCACUAGUAAUCACUUUUUACCUAAUAACACUCAUAAUAUUUUUUUAGGAAUGAACUGAUAGACCCCUAUUCAUUCUAUCUAAUGAUAUGGUUAAUAGAUUAAUUGGUCCCAUUCGGAUCAAUUUUUCUAAACCUCUAACACAGUUCUCCUCCUCCUCCAUCUUAGUAUUCUUCUCCUCCUCUUUCUCUUCUAUUUUUCUUUUCUCCUCCUCUUUAUCAAUUGGUGCAUGAUAUGAUAAUCUUACAUCGUCAUUAUUUUUAUCUAAUUGGAAGAUUACAUAUCGAGUUUAAUCAAUAUUUGUUGGAUAAACCAAUGUUUGAAUUUUUUUUUUAUUAUAAGACCAACAUGGUAUUAAAAAAUAGUUUAUAGUCUUCAUUUUGUGAAAAAUUUUCACCUAUAAUCAAUAAAUCAAAAUUAAUUUAUACCUCCUACACAUAUUUUUACAAGAAUAGAUUAGAAUAAGAUUUGAUUAAAAUGAGAUACAGGGUAUUUAUAUUUUAUGCCCUAAGUAAAAUGAUCACAUUAUCAAUCAAACAUCUUCCUCUUUCGUAUCAAAACAUAUCAAUAUCUAUACAUCCUUGCUACUGGAGUUCUUAUCACCAUCUUGAUUCUGCUUAAAUCUGACAAUUUGAUUGUAAAUGAAGUUUGGCUCCCACUUGUUAAUAAUCUUUAUUUCUCAUUGUUAGCAUACAAAUUGAGCAAUUUGUCCCAAAGGCUUACUACCCAUUGCCCCACAUUAUUAGGCACAUUAGCUUCUUCUGGCCCACUGGCAUUUUAGGCUACAAGUAUCUUGCUGUUUUAAGAAUCAUUUCCUCAUAUUUGUGUGCUUCACAAAUCUAUCCUCAUAAAAUUUCAAAGGAGAGUAUAAGCCCUUACCAAAUCCACUAUAGUAUAUUUUUCAUUGUCGCCUAAAGAAAAUGGAAGCUAUAUUGUUCUCAAGAAACCUUGUAAAUGGCACCUAAAGAAAAUCUUGCCCAUUUUCUACCAAAAAAUUUUUUGUUUUUUCCUAUAUAAUGUUUAGGUAUCAUAAUAAUUGAUGAAUCAAACAUGUCAUGAAAUUGCGCAUUCAUCCGAAGGAUACAAAUGGGGAUGGAGUGCCACCAUCCACCCUCAGCUUUCACUUGUGGUUUCCCCACUUGGCUCCCCUCCCAAUCGCCACAAAACAUUCCUUUCCAUCAACCUUUUUCUAAUCUCUGUUCUUUGCCGACCUAUCUUUCCUUUGGUUCCUCCCCAAGCCACGCCCUUCGCUCUCCUCCCCAUCUCUCUGAAAGGAGGCUGUGCAAAGGUUGCUGCUUUUGAAAGCUGAAUCAGGUUGGUGAUCUUUCCUUAUUUUCUUGUCUUGUUUACUCGGUCGAUGAACUCUUGGAGUGUGGCAGUAGAAGCUGGGAAGGAGGGCUUGAUGGGAAGGGAGGGUGGGCAGACCGAUGAGUUCCCCGUUGGCAUGCGUGUUCUCGCCGUCGACGAUGAUCUGACUUGCCUGAAGGUGUUGGAGGCUCUGCUGCUUCGGUGCCGAUACCAUGUGUUGUCAGUGAACAGUGAGAUCAAAAUGUGAUGAAAGGCAUAACCCAUGGCGCAUUUGACUACCUGCUAAAGCCUGUUCGGAUCGAGGAGCUCAGGAAUAUAUGGCAGCAUGUUUUUAGGAGAAAGAAGCUCCAUCACAGGGAUUAUAGCAAGUUUGAUAAUUGGGAGGAAUCUCCAUCAGAAUGAACUGUUCGGUAUGAAGAGGAAGGAUCAAAAAGAGGAAGAAGAUAAUGAUUCUGAGGAGAACAUGCAUCAGGAUGAAGAUCCAACCACUCGAGGGCUGUUUCGUCUAUCGACCGACACCAGAAGUUUGUAGCUGCUGAUAAUCAAUUAGGGAUUGACAAGGCUGUCCCUCAGAGGAUACUAGAGCUCAUCAAUGUCGAGAAGCUUACAAGAGGAAAUGCUGCGAGUCAUUUACAGGCAUGCUGUUCAAUUAUUUACAGUCAUAAUGUGUUUAGUUGCUUGCUACGAAGUUGAAGUACCUCAUGUUGUGUUUGCAGAAGUAUCGGCUUUACAUGAAAAGACUUCAGUGCUGUGGCAAGCCAACAGGCUAACACGGUUGCUGCUUUUGGAGGUAGGGAGCCUUCCCAUCUGCAUAUGGGUUCAUUGGAUGGAUUUGGGAGCUUUUAUGCAUUCAGCGACCUGCCAUUACAUCACUCCAGCCAAGUGAAGUGCUUGGGGAUUCCUACAUCAUCAGAGCUUGAGCAACUUCAACCAAAAAGAAUUCAGGAAUGGAACAGUCAUUCGCCUGGUGGUUCUUCUAGCAGUGGACAUUUUUCUUGCAGACCCAGCAGCUCUUUUGUCAAUUCGACUAGCAAUGCUCUUAUAUCAUAAACACAGCAGCAGCAGACACAUUCAUCGAUUGCUUUUCAAGUAGAUCAACAUUCAUAAGCUCAGAUCCUUUUC